UGGGUCACCUCCCACCCGUGUUUAUUGUACCUUGUUGCUUCGGUGCGCCCGCCUCACGGCCGCCGGGGGGCUUCUGCCCCCGGGUCCGCGCGCACCGGAGACACCAUUGAACUCUGUCUGAAGAUUGCAGUCUGAGCAUAAACUAAAUAAGUUAAAACUUUCAACAACGGAUCUCUUGGUUCCGGCAUCGAUGAAGAACGCAGCGAAAUGCGAUAACUAAUGUGAAUUGCAGAAUUCAGUGAAUCAUCGAGUCUUUGAACGCACAUUGCGCCCCCUGGUAUUCCGGGGGGCAUGCCUGUCCGAGCGUCAUUGCUGCCCUCAAGCACGGCUUGUGUGUUGGGCUCCGUCCCCCCGGGGACGGGCCCGAAAGGCAGCGGCGGCACCGAGUCCGGUCCUCGAGCGUAUGGGGCUUUGUCACCCGCUCUGUAGGCCCGGCCGGCGCCAGCCGACAACCCAUCAUCCUUUUCAGGUUGACCUCGGAUCAGGUAGGGAUACCCGCUGAACUUAAGCAUAUCAAUAAGCGGAGGA
rnacentral:rRNA from 1 species